GAUGAACGCUGGCGGCGUGCCUAAUACAUGCAAGUCGAGCGAAGCGGGGACGGGUGAGUAACACGUGGAUAACCUCCUAUAAGACUGGGAAAACUUCGGGAAACCGGAGCCAAACCGGAUACGUAUAGAUGGAACCGCGCUGCAUUAGCUAGUUGGUAAGGUAACGGCUUACCAAGGCAACGACCCAUAGCAGACCUGAGAGGGUGACCGGCCACACUGGAACUGAGCCACGGUCCAGACUCCUACGGGAGGCAGCAGUGGGGACUCUUCCGCAAUGGGCGCAAGCCUGACGGAGCAACGCCGCGUGUGUGAUGAAGCUCUUCGGAUCGUAAAACUCUGUUAUUAGGGAAGCGGUACCUAAUCAGAAAGCCACGGCUAACUACGUGCCAGCAGCCGCGGUAAUAC
rnacentral:rRNA from 1 species